UACGAAGGGGGCUAGCGUUGCUCGGAAUCACUGGGCGUAAAGCGCACGUAGGCGGGUCCUUAAGUCGGGGGUGAAAUCCCGGAGCUCAACUCCGGAACUGCCUUCGAUACUGGGGACCUCGAGUCCGGGAGAGGUGAGUGGAACUGCGAGUGUAGAGGUGAAAUUCGUAGAUAUUCGCAAGAACACCAGUGGCGAAGGCGGCUCACUGGCCCGGUACUGACGCUGAGGCGCGAAAGCGUGGGGAGCAAACAGG
rnacentral:rRNA from 1 species